UACGUAGGGGGCGAGCGUUGUCCGGAAUUACUGGGCGUAAAGGGUGCGUAGGCGGAAAAAUAAGUCAGUGGUGAAAACCUUCAGCUUAACUGGAGACUUGCCAUUGAUACUGUUAUUCUUGAGUAUAGUUAAGGUAGGCGGAAUGUGUAAUGUAGCGGUGAAAUGCUUAGAUAUUACACAGAACACCAAUUGCGAAGGCAGCUUACUGAGCUAUAACUGACGCUGAUGCACGAAAGCGUGGGGAGCGAACAGGAUUAGAUACCCUGGUAGUCCACGCCGUAAACGAUGAUCACUCGCUGUUGGCGAUACACAGUCAGCGGCUAAGCAAAAGCAUUAAGUGAUCCACCUGGGGAGUACGGUCGCAAGGCUGAA
rnacentral:rRNA from 1 species